rnacentral:rRNA from 1 species
AUUGAACGCUAGCUACAGGCUUAACACAUGCAAGUCGAGGGACCGGCGCCCGGGUGAGUAACACGUAUCCAACCUGCCCUUUACUCGGGGAUAGCCUUUAGAAAGAAAUAUUAAUACCCGAUAUAAAGGAUGGGGAUGCGUUCCAUUAGGUUGUUGGUGAGGGAACGGCUCACCAAGCCUUCGAUGGAGAGGGGUUCUGAGAGGAAGGGCCCACAAAGUGGAACUGAGACACGGUCCAAACUCCGACGGGAGGCAGCAGGGAGGAAUAUUGGUAAAGGGGUGCUAGCCUGAACCAGCCAAGUAGCGUGAAGGAGGAAGGCUUAUGGGUCGUAAACUUCUUUUAGAUAAGAAUAUGUAUGAUAUGAAUAAGGAUCGGCUAACUCCGUGCCAGCAGCCGCGGUAAUUC